AUACUUACCUGGCAGGGGAGAUACCAUGAUCCUGAAGGUGGUUUUCCCAGCGUGUGGCUCAUCCAUUGCACUUUGGGUGUGCUGACCCCUGCGAUUUCCCCAAAUACAGGAAACUCAACUGCAUAAUUUGUGGUAGUGGGGGACUGCACUCACA
ensembl:snRNA U1 U1 spliceosomal RNA